rnacentral:lncRNA from 1 species
ACAAAGAGACGAUCUAGACCGAAAGAGAGAAAAGACAUUAGGAGCACUCAUUCCUUGUACCCGGGGAACUGAUUCAUAAGGAAGGGGAUCUACACCAGAAAAGGAGUUUACGGCCGGUUCCCAUAUAGACACUUUAACUCACAUUGCUUUAGGCAGUACUCUUCUUACUAAAGAAGAAGACUUACUGAAAGAGGGAGCAAAUCCGUCACUGGACGAGGA